rnacentral:rRNA from 1 species
GGAUGAGCCCGCGGCCUAUCAGCUUGUUGGUGAGGUAACGGCUCACCAAGGCGACGACGGGUAGCCGGCCUGAGAGGGCGACCGGCCACACUGGGACUGAGACGCGGCCCAGACUCCUACGGGAGGCAGCAGUGGGGAAUAUUGCACAAUGGGCGAAAGCCUGAUGCAGCGACGCCGCGUGAGGGAUGACGGCCUUCGGGUUGUAAACCUCUUUCAGCAGGGAAGAAGCGAAAGUGACGGUACCUGCAGAAGAAGCGCCGGCUAACUACGUGCCAGCAGCCGCGGUAAUACGUAGGGCGCAAGCGUUGUCCGGAAUUAUUGGGCGUAAAGAGCUCGUAGGCGGCUUGUCACGUCGGUUGUGAAAGCCCGGGGCUUAACCCCGGGUCUGCAGUCGAUACGGGCAGGCUAGAGUUCGGUAGGGGAGAUCGGAAUUCCUGGUGUAGCGGUGAAAUGCGCAGAUAUCAGGAAGAACACCGGUGGCGAAGGCGGAUCUCUGGGCCGAUACUGACGCUGAGGAGCGAAAGCGUGGGGAGCGAACAGGAUUAGAUACCCUGGUAGUCCACGCCGUAAACGGUGGGCACUAGGUGUGGGCAACAUUCCACGUUGUCCGUGCCGCAGCUAACGCAUUAAGUGCCCCGC